UUUGGGAUCAGUCAAGAAGGAGAUAAGGCAAUGUGCAUAGUUAGGGAUUGUGGUACGGACAGGAGGUCCGUACCAUCAACCGUACGGCCACUCCACACGCCCAAGUCACCCGGCUCAGCUUAAAUCAAAGAUGAGCAAUGUGAGGGCGGUUUACUUUGAUCCAAUCCUAUCUUAAGUGACCGUUGAAGGCUUAUGGAGGGAAGGAAUAUACCUGAGCAUCUUGUGGUCCAAGAGACAGGCUGGAAAGGGAAAAGAAGCUUUACCUUUACAGCCAAGACCCAUCUCCUCCAUUCAAAAGAAGCAAUCUGAGCCUUCCAUUUGAAUCAGCCACGCCAGCUAGCACCAGAAACAUCAAGACCAGUCUUCUCUCAUCCUUACCAUCCAUUCUAUCUUUUAAUUACAGCCUUAGGAUCUAGGUUUGUGAUAUAAGUUGUGUAAAGGCAUAUAUAAGCCUCUUAUGAUCACUUUGUAAACCUUUAAGCUGAGAGAGUCUCUCUUCUUCAUAAACUUGUUCUUGGUUCUUAUUCUCUUGUUACUAAGUCUCUCUCUAAUCUCCCAUACACGUUCUCAGUCUCUCCCAUACUCUCUUUGAUUCUCUUAAACUCAUUUCUAUUCUUCAUACUUCAUCACACAACAAUCUCUCAUCUGUUCUUACAUCACUCAAGUAC
rnacentral:lncRNA from 1 species